rnacentral:rRNA from 1 species
ACGGAGGGUGCAAGCGUUACCCGGAAUCACUGGGCGUAAAGGGCGUGUAGGCGGUAAGUUAAGUCUAGAUUUAAAGACCGAAGCUCAACUUCGGGAAUGGUUUGGAUACUGGCUUACUAGACGACUGGAAGGGAGAGUGGAAUUCUCGGUGUAGCGGUGGAAUGCGUAGAUACCGAGAGGAACACCAGUGGCGAAGGCGGCUCUCUGGACAGUGCGUGACGCUGAGGCGCGAAAGUGUGGGGAGCGAACCGGAUUAGAUACCCGGGUAGUCCACACCCUAAACGAUGUAUGUUGGAUGAUAGCCCGUUGGGGUUAUUGUCGAAGCUAACGCGAUAAACAUACCGCCUGGGAAGUACGGCCGCAAGGUUG